CCGAGUUCAUGCCCUCACGGGUAGAUCUCCCACCCUUUGUAUACUAUACCUUUGUUGCUUUGGCGGGCCGCCUAGCUACUGGCUUCGGCUGGUAAGUGCCCGCCAGAGGACCCUAAACUCUUGUUUACAGUGUCGUCUGAGUACUAUACAAUAGUUA
rnacentral:misc_RNA from 1 species